UUUUUUUUACUUGGAAUUAAAGUUUGUUUAAACUCCAUUUACUUGGAAUAGAACUUUGUAGUGAAUGAAAAAAACUAGGUUCUUCUGCAAAGUGAAGAGUAAGAACAUGAGUUUCUACAUAUGCAUAAUAUAUAUUCUUUUUUAUUUUGUCUGGUCAUCUUUAAAAGCAGGCUGUGGUGGCAGUCUAGAAAAUGAAUAUAUACAAAUAUCCUACUCUUACAUCUUGAUUAUAGUAAACUAAUUUAGCAAGGUCAAAUUGGUUUCAUCCAAGGUAUCAGGUAGAACCAUUAGUCCACUGAAGAAUUUAAUUAAAAAACUAGUGAUACAUUUGAGAUUUACUUUUCUCUGAUGUUUGGGUUAAAAGUUUCUCUCCUGUGAUUCAUGAAAUGCUGCAGCUCCAGUCACUGCGCCAUGCGCACCUGGGAGAAAGGCGGAGUCACCCACUGGCAAGCACCUCCGUUCACUGACAGCCUGCCAGUGACCAUGGUUUCUAAAGUUCACUCUUGGAACCAAAGGCAAGAAGAUAGGAAAGAAAGAGGGUGCUAAUCAGAUCAACUGUUCACAGCCUCUUUAAUAUGACCCUUUGGGUGAUAAUUUAUAUGAAAAAUAACAUUUUUACUACAAGUCUGCUUCUAAUUUCAACAUUGAUUCCCCCCCUCCCCCCAAAAUUUCCAAAAGUGUAGCUCAAUGUCUUUUUCUAAGAAAGUAAGAGGGGAAAGCCCACAAAUACUGGGAGAAGAGAAUUGAAAAAGAAAUAGAAAUAGAGAAGAGGUUGCCAGAAUGGAGUGGGGUCAGCAUCAAAAAGGCAGGAGGUGAUAACUGUUAAGUAAUUUGUAGUGAUUUGUUUCCUCUGGUUCACUUACAACUAACAUGAAAUGAGUUUCAUCCUUUAAGCAUGAAGUUGGAAUGGGAAGCCAGCCUAGAGGCACAAAUUGCAGCAGAUACACUAGAUCCAAGCAGCAGAAAUGGCUGUGAUGACAUUCCGUCCAAGAGCAGUGGCAUCUUCACAGGAAAAAGUCUGAAUAAUCAUGAGUCUGAUCAUCUUCACCAUCAUCAGACAAUGGAUAGGAUAAGGCUUCAUGAGGGACAUUUUCAUGGCUUUUGGUUGUCAAGAAAGCAUAUUUAGAGAAAUUGGAAUUAUGCUCAAGAUUUUUUUUCUUGCUCCUUAUUCUCCUGAUACACAUCUCACAAUUAAAAUUAUCUUGACACUUUAUUACAAUCUUUUAAAUGCAUUUGCACGAGCUAAGGCUGCAGAAAUCUCAAUUUUGUGGACAUGGUUUACCCCUGACCCUUUGUUUACUAUGUCCAGGGUAUCACCAGUUUGGGAGAGAUACUACUUUGAAGUUGGUGGCCAUUUUGCAUCAGUGUUAAGGCUUAGCCUACAGGUUCACUUUUUCUCUUGGCUUUGUCCCUGAAUUGAGAACUGAGUGGAAGUAUGGGACAAAGCCAGCAGUGACACUCAAAAGAUCCACGAGUCGUGUUUUCUUAUUUGAAAGCUGGGUUAUUGAGCCCACCUCAGUCAGGGACACUGAAUGCUGAAUUUAAAUAAAGCAAUAACAUUACACUCGUUUUAUACAAUGACAUUAUAGAGAACUGUGCAAACACUUAGAGGUGUAUCUGGAUUUGUUGUGUCCAGAGGAGUAAUUACUGUUCUCAUGAGGGCAUAGCAACAUGUGAUUCCCAAUUUGCUUUCCACACCCUGGAGAAGGGCACACGAGUAGCUGAAAGUUAUUAACACGGCAGUGAGGGCUACUUGUGUGGUAGUGGAUAUCUCUUUGGAUUCCCUUCAAAUGAGUGAAGAAACAGCUAUGAAAACUGGUAGGGCUUUUGCUUUAUCUCAUGUCUAGUGGUCAACUUCUUAUAAAUGAGGCAUGAAGAGAACUAAUUCUCCAGAUUAUGAGAUGAUUCUUUCCAAUCGGUACAACAACAGGUAUAAUGAUUAUGUUUCUCAGAAUUUUCUGCCCUCCGCUUGGGAUUCUGUAGGCUCAGUUCAGAUGUCAGUGAAUUUGUGGAAUUAAGUGUGUUAGAUGACUAAGAGGAUUCGAAAUACUAAUUUCAAAGUGUUUUGAAAUAUAGGAGUCAACAACUGUCCUUGAAGGUAAGAUUUACCCUGAAAAUUCUUAGUGAGAGACUGGAGAGUGAUAAGUUCCAAAAUACAAAUAUUGAAGCUAGAAUUUCCGUUGGCUGUUAAAACAAACUGCUACAAACUGAGAUACCCAAGAGCAAAAGACUUGACAGCUCCUGCCUCUUACUGCAGUCUAACCCAUGAGCUUGUCGAGUCCUAUAGCAGACUUAUUUCCGCCUAAUUCCAGAUACCAGUUUCACACAAGUGCUCUUGGCCAUGUUGAUUAGCUUCAGCAGUGUUUUGGUUUGAAAAACUUAACAUUUUGUCUUCUUUCAAUUUUUCUUUAAACUUGCAAACUAAGAAGCCCAGCGUUCCACCCAACUUGUUCUCAGUCUUAGUUUUAAUUAAUUUCUUAGGGAUUUUUUUUUAGGUCAUUUUAAAUGGUUUUUUUUUCUUCCUUAAACGGAAUUUUGCUGUGUUAUUUAUAAUGUGAAAAGUAGGUAACAUAAGUCCCUCUCGCCCUUUGCUGUCAGAAUCUUGGCAAUUAGGAGCAGUUGUUGCUAUGUCAGAGUUUCAUCCAUGGAUGUUCUUCUGGGAUGGAAGGCACAUCUAGUCCACUGUUUGUUUAAUUGGGCAGUGUAAGUAAGGUCACUGGCUCUGUUUCCUAAACACCUAAUUAUAUUUUGGCAUUCCUCACAUCUACGGGAUGUCAGUCCAAAAGUUUAAGUUGUGGAGAGGAAAGAGGAUACUUUGACCAUACUUGAAAACAAACGUUUUGAAAUUUUCUCCCCCUUAAAAACAACUCCUUGGGACUGGAUGUGUUCAUGAUACUUUUAAAAAAUUGGUUAUAGUUACUAUGUUCAUCACUCAUGAAUUCCAUAUUCUGCCCUAGUCCCUGAAGGUAGUUUGAUACACUAACUUUUGUUUUGCCUUUCUAGCUGCUAAGAUAGAUAAUGAUUAUUGCAAAGUGCACAUUUUUAAAUGGUCUCCAGUGCGGACUGCUGAGCCCAGUGGUGGCGUGAGCACGUUGAGGAAGAAUGUGUCAUUUGGAAUCCAGGACCAUUCGGCAAGGAUAACUGCCUGAUGAUAAUGGUCAAUGCUCAAACUCAAACGGCACACCGAUGCCUUCCUCUCCCAUUCCUCUACAGAGCAAGUUCUCAGCCUCAGCUCCCCUAGUUUAUUUACUCUCAUCUCCAUUCCCAAUGUAGUGAUCUCUCCGUGCCACUUCUGGGUGUCAAAAGGAGUUGAAUGUCAGUGUAUUCAUGACUGAUGCUGAAAUGGAAGCCACCCAGUGCUGAAAUUUGGGGGAAAAUGACUGAAGAAUGCGAGGGGAAGUAGCAAUUCAUUUCUAGCAUCCCUAAACCUGCUUUGUCGUGUCAACUCCACUGCAGUCAGAGGAAAAGAACAAACAGUCGUGGAAAUUACCAGCUAAGCCUUACGUCUGUCCGUAAUGUUUUUAGAAACUUCCAGGUAAGUGACAUGUCUGUUUUGAAGAAAGACUCAGGUAUUUUAAAUCCAGUUGUUCCAUAUUAGUAAAGAUGGACAGCUGCUUUAUUCUGAGCCUCCAAAAGCCUUGCCCUUGCUAGGUGCAGUUCUGUGUUGUGGGAGAAGUGGAGUCGCUCCACUAACAGGGAGCUUUCCCCUCUGCUCAGCAGUUAGGCUGGAACUUUGAUCGAAGCACAUAAAGUGCCAGUUUUUGAUGUUUUGUGCUCAAAAACUUUGUUACAAGUUAUUUGAGUUUUAAUCUUAUCCCUCACUGUAUCUAUAGAAAAACUUUAAAAAUGCUUCAAAGUUCCUGCCCGAUUACAUUUGCAUUAUACAUAGUCAAAUAAGAGUGAAAUUAUGGGGCUUUAUAAGUCUUUAUUAACACCACCUUGAUUGGUUUUAUAGAUAAUUUUUAAAUUACUUAGUUAUUACACACAUACAUAAUAGACACUGUUGGAGGGCCUGGAAUACAAAGACGGACUGGCAUAUACAGUUCGUGAUCUCAGUUUAUUUUUAUUGACACAAUACAGAUGGAAUUCUAGUUUAGGGAAUUGUAAUCAAAUGAGGCUAAUUCCAUUUCUCCAUCAACAUUCCUUUUAACUAGCAUGUUAGUCUGAAUGUGGCUGAUUCUGUUGAAGAGACCCUGCACACGUGCACUUGUGUCAGAGAGGUGAUUACGAGGCACUUCCUGUGUGCCAGUUACUGUUGUAAGCUCUUCACGUUUUAAAAAUCCUCAUAACUACCCUAUAAGUGUAUUGUCCAAAGCACAAUUUUCUUUGAGUCAUGAGGCAGAGGAGUUAAUAACUGCCCAAUUUGCACAACUGUGAUCUAGGACCAGUACUUGAACCAAGAUAAGUUGAUUGCAGAGCAUGCCCUCUUAGUUUGUGUUGGAUAUUUAUAUAUAGUACCUGUAGGCUAUCAGUUACCUAUAAAACAUUCCAAAUUCUUAAUAAAACUAAGUUUUUAAAAAGUGUGGUUUUAAAAAAGAAAAGUUCCAAUAGCACAAAAAGGCUAAAGAUGCGAUAAAUUUUUUUUUAGAGAACCAAAAAUUCCCUUUCUUUGGCCCUAAGAGUCAUUCUUCUUGAUGACCUCCCCUCUCAUAGCCCAUCCGCCCAGCCCCCAGCAGAUCGUGUGCACACAAAAAUCAAAGACUGGGACGGAAGCAGAGUGGCUCACGGUUACAUUUUAUUCUCAGAACCUUUACGCUGUGCCCCUGGCUCACCCCUCUCUUUUGGACUGUACGUUUUAUCUGCUAGAUCAUGAGAAAACACAGCUGCUGAGAGUUUUUCUAGGGUUCUUUUUUAGAGAAUAGAUUAGGCUCUGCAGAAAUAAAGGGAAACUGCUUUGAAAACCUCAGGUAGGUAACUCGGCUUCCCACUGUAUGCAUAGUUUAUUUGAAGCUCCCGCACCGCUGUGCCCUGUUACACACUGUAAAUCCAUUUGGUCUUUAAUAAACUGUUUUCUGAAGUGA